rnacentral:rRNA from 1 species
CCCUUAGAUGUUCUGGGAUGCACGCGCGUUACACUGAUUCGUUCAACGAGUUUAUGACCUUGCCUGAUGAGGUGGGGGAAUCUUUUCAAAUCGCAUCGUGAUGGGGAUAGAGUAUUGUAACUGUUAGUCUUCAACGAGGAAUUCCUAGUAAACGCAGAUCAUCAAUCUGCAUUGAUUACGUCCCUGCCCUUUGUACACACCGCCCGUCGCACCUACCGAUUGGAUGGUCCGGUGAAGCCUCGGGAUUGUGGUUCUUGCCGCUUUAUUGUGGCGUGACCGCGAGAACUUGUCUAAACCUUAUCAUCUAGAGGAAGGUGAAGUCGUAACA